AACGCACCUUGCGCUCCUUGGUAUUCCGAGGAGCAUGCCUGUUUGAGUGUCAUCAAGUCAUCAACCCCUCCCGUUUUGUGCGGAGAGAAGGUUGGAUCUGGGGGCCUGCUGCCGUCAGGCGGCUCCCCUCGAAUGUGUCGGUUGGGCCUGUGGGUCGAACUCGGUUGGGCGUUGUACCAUCCUCGCUCUAAGUCUGAGAUGUUCCUGCUCUAUUGAGCCCUUCCCAGACCGCCUCUGGAGUGGCGGUCAAGUCAAACUUUGAAAUCUGACCUCAAAUCAGGUAGGACUACCCGCUGAACUUAA
rnacentral:rRNA from 1 species